UGGGGAGGCACAGCCUUCCCUACCCGGCCCUCCAUACCGUUUCACAACCCCGAUGUGGCCCCAAAAGUUUGCCCACCCCUGGCCUAGCGCAAGAGUCCUGGUCGAUGACUAGUCUUUGUAGCUGUAAUGGUUAAACAAAAAGUAAAUAAUUUAUGAAAUAAUAAGUUUCUAGCUCUCAUGAUUGCAGAGAAAAGCUUGAAAACAUAGGUGAGUUGUAAUCAAAAGGCAAAGAAAAAGGUGUAUUAUUUACAAUUUCACAAUUUUUAAGACCAUCUCAUGAUUUUUGAACACUUGAGGUUGGUAAUACCUGGCAAUAUCUGGGACUCCCCUAAAUCAAGAGCAUACACAGACUUCUACUUCCCCCUUUAACAUUCCCUUAUAUUUGUAUUUAGUCUGAAAACCUAAAAAAAUCCCAUUGCAAAUUUUUUGCUUUCAUGUUGAGCCAUUGAAUCAUCACGUUACAAUGCAAUGUAAUAUCACCAUCUACCCUGGAACUAAAAAAUUAAAGAUUCCUUAAUUAUCUGGGGAGUUAAAGGCCUAUCAGCCAGUCAUUGAUCUCCAGCAAAAUAGUGGAACAGUCAUACCAGACUCAGAGUUGAUUCCCCAAUUCAAGAAAGAUGUUGAUAAAUUAAAGAGGUUUCAGAGAAUAGCCACAAGAAUGAUUAAAGGAUUAAAAAACUGUGCCUCACAGAGAGAGGCUCAAGAAGAGCAUGUUCUAUUUCACUUAACAAAGAAAAGGUUACAGGUGACUUAAUCAUAGUCUGUAAAUACCUAAAUGGGGAACAGAAGUUUGGUAAUAGAUGGCUCUUCUAGCAGUCUAGCAGAGAAAGUUAUAACAAGAUCCAAUGGCUGAAAGUUGAAGCUAGACAAAUUCAAACUCAAAAUCAUAUUUAACAAUGAGGGAAUUAACCACUUGAACAUUUACAAAGGGCUGUAGUGGAUUCUCCAUCAUUGGAAAUUUUAAAAUCAAGAUUGGAUGUUUUUGUAAAAGAUAUGCUCUGGGGUAAACGGUUAAUUCUGAAAUAGUUCUAUGCCCUGUAUUAUACAAGAGGGAAGAUUAGAUGAUCACAGUGGUCCUUUCGGGCUUUAUAAUCUAUUAAUCUGAAUCCCACGAGGUCAUAUUUCAGCAGACAAAUGAAAAUAAAGACAAUCUUAUUUGUUAGACAGAUUCCAAGCAGGUUUCAGCCCUGUCCUAAUUAUCUGUGUCUUGUUGAACAGGUUGAAUGUAAUUGAUUUGGCAGUGAGGUAGUUAAUUUUACAGACACAGCAGACAACUUUUCUCAGUGGCAUGUGCACAUCAACAACAGUUUUUCCAGCCACUGUCUCCAGUGGAGGAGCUCUUCCUGGUCUCUGAAAAAUAAAUAACCUACAGUGUUUUAAAUAGUGACCAUCAGGGUCAAUCAAAGUACUGAAAGUCUGUAGAAAAAUGAACCUUUUUAUGGAGUUUUUGUUGCUUUUAUCUAUAAUAAUUUACUCCUACAUAGAGGCUUUUGUGAAGCUUUUCGUUCCUGUGAAAAGAAAGUCUGUCAGUGGAGAGCUUGUUCUCAUUACCGGUGCUGGUCAUGGAAUUGGGAGACUUACAGCUUAUGAAUUUGCUAAUCGACAAAGCAGAUUGGUUCUAUGGGACAUCAAUAAGCAUGGCAUUGAGGAAACAGCUGCAGAGUGCAGAAGGCUGGGGGCCGCAGCUCAUGCUUUUGUGGUGGAUUGCAGUAAAAGGGAAGAAAUCUACAGUGCUGCAGAGAAGGUGAAAAAAGACAUCGGAGAUGUUAACAUCUUGGUGAAUAAUGCAGGAGUGAUUACAACUGCUGAUCUGCUUUCAACUCAGGACGAGCAGAUACAAAAAAUGUUCGAGGUCAACACUCUCGCUCAUUACUGGACUACAAAAGCAUUUCUGCCAGCGAUGAUGAAGAACAAUCAUGGCCAUAUUGUCACUGUUGCUUCAGUAGGUGGUCACUUGGUAGCUUCUUUCAUGGUGACUUACUGUUCAAGCAAGUUUGCUGCAGUUGGAUUUCAUAAAGCCCUAACACAAGAACUUUCUGCAUUGGGAAAGGAUGGAAUAAAAACAUCAUGCCUUUGUCCUGUUUUUAUAAAUACUGGCUUUGUCAAAAAUCCAAGUACAAGAUUAAUGAAAGUUUUGGAGCCAGAGAAGGUUGUAAAUAAACUGCUAGAGGGGAUAUUGACCAACCAGAAAAUUAUUUUUGUUCCAUCAUUUCUGAAGAUAUCUCCAAUAAUGGAAAAUUUUGUUUCAGAAAAACACUCAUUUUAUUACAAUGGAACCAAAUCAGUAAAAGAAAGUAUGGCAGGCUGGUAAGCCACUUGAAUGAUAAGUGAUCAAUAGAAAACGAAACCACCCCAUCUUCAUUGAUAACAUUCUUCCAGAGCGUGCCCUGGCAGCAAUGUACAAACUGCAGAAUCCUCAAUUUGAUGCAGUUGUUGGAUACAGAAACAGGGUCAUAAGUGAUUAGGUCAUCGCCCUCCCCCUCAAACCGCACAGGCUGCAGAUGGUUCAUGUUUUGAGUUCAGAUCAAUUAUUCAAUGUUUUGAUUCAUUCAGAGAAAAAAUGGAAGACCCAUCACUUUCCAGCUGCCUUCCUACAACAGUGACACUUGAUAAAGUCCCAGCAACACUGCUCUGAACAUCAGUGAAUUUCUGUAGGUGCCUGGCUGGCUGAGUUCCUGUUACAAUGAUUAUUUUAAUGCUUCUGGGAUUUGCUAGUAUUGUGUAAUAUGUUAGGGUGCCAAGAGCUUUAGGUAGAAAUCUUUUUAUCAUUGUAAAGCUAAAUAAAUAAAUAAAAUAGACAUAUACACAAAUCCAUGUGUGCACGACACAGACUAUGCGAGAGCAGUAGAAAAUACAGUCCUUCAGACUGAAUGUUGCUUAAUUUUGUUGGCACCCAGAUAUCAUGGUGAUCCUAUCUAUUCUGUAAAGGUUCUUAUACCACACUCAUUACCAUAGUAUCUGAGCACCUAAGUCAUGCAUUAAGUAACAUGACUGCCACAUGUUGUUUGUUCUUUCAUCCUGUCCCCUGGGGGAGAAGCGCGUGUACUAGAGUGUCUUGUUUUGAGAGAGGGUUGUGGGUUUUUUUAGCUGGAGGAAGGGGGAAUUUUUUUUAAACUAUGCACGUGGCUAUAUGUUUAUGUUAGAGAAGGCAAGGUUAAAGAAAUGUGCCUUGGUCUUGGAGCAAACAGCGGUGAGGUAUGCAGUGGCAUACUUCCUGGGGGGAGUUCACUUCACAGGCUCAGACCAGACCAGCCCAAAGAAAGUUCUGUCUCCUGGAUGGACAAACUUUGCCCUUAUUGUAGAGGGGUCCAUUGUGCAGAAGAAUGUAGUUGUUUACAUAUCCUGGGCUCAAGCGGUGAAGCACCUUGAAGAUAAGAACUGAGACUUUGGACUUAGUUCAAAAUUCUAUGGGAGGUCAGUGUAGAGAGCAAAGGACAGGUUUGAUGUGCUCACAGUAGCCUGUGUUGCUGAAGAGAUGCAAUGAAGUGUUUUGUAUUAGUUGGAGUUUCCUAAGCACGGAAGGCUUCAUGCCCAGGUUGGUAUAUCACAUUGCUGUAGUCCAGUGGAGAAGUGACAAAGUUAUGAAUCACUGAGGCCAUGCUGUACAUGUACCUUGCCACUCCUUAUCACUGUCUACUCCUCUUCCUCUCUGCUUCCAUCCUCUCCCAUCAAAAGAAGGAAGUAUUGUCUCAGGAGUAUUCCAUGUUUCCUUGAGAACUGUAGAGAGACUCAAAGGAGCUCCUGGGGAAGAGGAUGCUACUGUGAGGCCAGAAUUCCUCUCUGCAUCAGAUGGAGCAGCUGUGAGAUCAUUGCUGAUUGUUACAUAUCAGAUUUCAGUAAGAAUCGAUUGUGUGCAUGCAAACUAGGAAGUCAGCUGCAAACAGCCAUUGAGUCCAUGAAUGAUUUCAGCCACACACUCGUGUAGAGGGGAAAAAUGAGAAAUCUGGUACUGUACUGCCUCAGAUCACACACAUUUUGAUGUUUCACUGUUAGCUUUUGUAGACAGAGACUCUUAUCUUUGUUUCUUGUAUAGAGCCGAACACUUGGCUAAAAAAAAUAAAUCAU